rnacentral:rRNA from 1 species
AGAGUUUGAUCCUGGCUCAGAUUGAACGCUGGCGGCAUGCUUUACACAUGCAAGUCGAACGGCAGCGGGGGCUUCGGCCUGCCGGCGAGUGGCGAACGGGUGAGUAAUGCAUCGGAACGUACCCAGUCGUGGGGGAUAACUACGCGAAAGCGUAGCUAAUACCGCAUACGCCCUGAGGGGGAAAGCGGGGGACCUUCGGGCCUCGCGCGAUUGGAGCGGCUGAUGUCGGAUUAGCUAGUUGGUGGGGUAAAGGCCUACCAAGGCGACGAUCCGUAGCUGGUCUGAGAGGAUGAUCAGCCACACUGGGACUGAGACACGGCCCAGACUCCUACGGGAGGCAGCAGUGGGGAAUUUUGGACAAUGGGCGCAAGCCUGAUCCAGCCAUGCCGCGUGAGUGAAGAAGGCCUUCGGGUUGUAAAGCUCUUUCAGACGGAAAGAAAUCGGGCGCGUGAAUAGCGUGCCUGGAUGACGGUACUGUCAGAAGAAGCACCGGCUAACUACGUGCCAGCAGCCGCGGUAAUA